CCAAUAGCGUAUAUUAAAGUUGUUGCAGUUAAAAAGCUCGUAGUUGAACUUCGGGGUUUACCCAUUGGUCAGGCUUAAUUGUCUGCACUGGUGAGAUGAAUCUCUACCUUCUGAGGAACUUUCAUGCCAUUUAUCUGGUGUGAUGGGAAAUCAGGACUGUUACUUUGAAAAAAUUAGAGUGUUUAAAGCAGGCUAACGUCUGAAUACAUUAGCAUGGAAUAAUGAAAUAGGACGGACUGAUUCUAUUUCGUUGGUUUCUAGGAUAACCGUAAUGAUUAAUAGGGAUAGUUGGGGGCAUUAUUAUUAAAUUGUCAGAGGUGAAAUUCUUGGAUUUAUUGAAGACUAACUACUGCGAAAGCAUUUGCAAAGGAUGUUUUCAUUAAUCAAGAACGAAAGUUAGGGGAUCGAAGACGAUCAGAUACCGUCGUAGUCUUAACCAUAAACUAUGCCGACUAGGGAUCGGACGAAGUUAAUUUUAUAAUGACGCGUUCGGCACCUUACG
rnacentral:rRNA from 1 species